rnacentral:lncRNA from 1 species
UCUGUAUAUAUUUCAAAUUAAAUGAAAAAAAAAAUUAAAAGAAGAACUAAAGAACUACAAAGAAUGAAGUUGGUUAUAUUUCACAGGAAUUCUGAAAUGUGAACAGUUUGAUGAGAUAAAUAUUCUGGAGCAACUGGCAUGAAAGUAUUAGCUUAAUUCAUAGAAGAUGCAAUGAUUCAUGUCAUCAAACAAGACUACUAGAAGGCUACUCUUCAACUUUUCAUUAUAUAACAGAAGUUGAAAGAUGAAAACCACUGCCACAAAUACCACAACUAAAAAAUAAAAAGGAAAAACAUUAUGGUUAGAGUGAAGACAGACAUGGAAACAAGAUAUGUGGAUAUCACAAAAACACUGAACUAUUGGGCAGAAGUAGAAAAAGUCAUUCAUCUCCAGAUGAUAAAUUUCUUCAUCUACCAGAAAUCAAGUUCCAGGAGUUGGCAGAAUUGAUGUGGUGUUAUUCAACUCGCUUCUCACUGGCGCAUCAGAUUUCUGAAACAACAAUAACAACAAAGUAUAUGCCCCUCUGUUAUUUCUAACUGAAAGCUCAGUGGCUGUUUAUUCAAAUCAUUUUGUUAAUCUGAGGUAUGUGAGUAAUGUCACUCCAAUUUCCCCCAAGUAACUGUCACCCAUUUUUUCUUUCUGUUUGUAUUCAACAAACUCUGAUUUAAGUGUCAACAUUCCUUCUGAAUAAAUUUCCAUCCUAAACAUGAAUGUAAUAUCGC